UCCCCUCUUCAGCAAACAGGAAAUGAGAGGCUGAUCAGUCCUACAGAAGAGCAGGGUGCUGUGGUGUCACCACUGACACACAGAGACAGCCAACCAAAGUGAGGGGAAAGGAAGCAGACAGACACCUUCAGAGGGAGCUGUGUUUUGUAGAGCUCACAACACGAGCUCUGACAGAACACAUUCCCUUCACGGAUCAACGGAGAGCUGACAAGAGGAAGAGAGGGGAGGAGAGCUGUUGUACCACACACACAGUACAGAGUGGUUUUUAACUGUCUGAUCCAUCUCAGCUCCUGAUAUAGUGUGGUAAAACACUUCAGGCAGGCCUGAGUUACCUAGGCGUUGCCCUAGCACAGCUACACUGACACCAACUGAUACCAGAGCCUCACCGGACAUAGAGAUCAUACCAGCACAUUCAAUACAGUAUGUCUGAAAUGGACCCAACCACAAAUAAAUGACAGCAGCUGAAUACAUGCUGGAGGUUAAUUAAAA